rnacentral:rRNA from 1 species
UACGUAGGGGGGCUAGCGUUGUCCGGAAUCAUUGGGCGUAAAGCGCGUGUAGGCGGUCCGGUAAGUCCGCUGUGAAAGUCCAGGGCUCAACCCUGGGAUGCCGGUGGAUACUGUCGGGCUCGAGUCCGGAAGAGGAGUGUGGAAUUCCUGGUGUAGCGGUGAAAUGCGUAGAUAUCUGGAGGAACACCGGUGGCGAAGGCGGCAUCCUGGACCAACACUGACGCUGAGGAGCGAAAGCCAGGGGAGCAAACGGG